rnacentral:rRNA from 1 species
AUUGAACGCUGGCGGCAGGCCUAACAAAUGCAAGUCGAGCGGAGCGGCGGACGGGCGAGUAAUGCCUAGGAAUCUGCCUGGUCGGGGGGGAUGACGUCAGGAAACGGGGGCUAAUACCGCAUACUAUCAGAUGAGCCUAGGUCGGCUUAGCGAGUUGGAGGGGUAAAGGCCUACCAAGGCGACGAUUCGGAACUGGUCUGAGAGGAUGAUCAGUCACAAUGGAACUUAGAUACGGGCCAGCGUCCUACGUGAGUCAGCAGUGGGGAAUAUUGGACAAUGGGACAAAGCAUGAUCCAGCCAGGGCGCGUUUGUGAAGAAGGUCUUCGGGUUUUAGAGCAGUUUAGGCUGGGAGGCAGUACCGACAGAAUGAGGACCGGCUAACUUCGUGCCAGCCAGCGCGGUAAUAC